AGCGUCAGUUCGUUUGCGAAGUGUGUGAUAAGCGAAUUCAGACGUCAAAAGUCAAAACGAAACGGAAAAGCGUCAACGAACCGAUGUGCGAAAGGCUACAAUGAAAUUAAUUAUAUUUUGUGACUCGUCAUUUUACAGUUCCACCGACUCAAGUCCUCACUUGGCAAUCUAAUUCACCAGCACACUAGUUAUAUUUUAGUAGUUAAAACUGCAAGUAUUUUAUACAACUUGGAUGACGACUGAACGACCGUGGCGAUAAACUUUGCGAAAUGCGGGAAAGCUAUGAAGUUAUAAAAGGGAGACGGUAAACCAAACUGACAUUGCUGACAAGCAAUUGUAAACAUUACAGGCUCACCGACAAGUGAGAAAUAUGAUCGCGCAGGGACAUUGACUGGCGUCAUAUCCUUAAAGCAAACAAAGCUACAGAAAGCAACACAAGAUUUCUGCUUGGAGCUAAUGCCAAACACAUAUUUACGGUAGAGAACGAGAAAUCGCUUUCGAAGCGCUCAAAAUAUUUUUUUUUUUUGUUUUGGCGGACUAAGAGUGCGAAGUCUAUUAAGUCGUAGUUGAAGGAUUCCAGUGCUUUAUAUUAGAAAUGUAUAAAAAAGCACCCAUUACUAUAAAAUUGAUACCUGAAAUUUGAAGCAACAGUUGCCACUUAAUGUAUUUGGCUACUAAUUACAUUGAUAAUAGUUAAGAAUAAUUAAAAGUUAUGAAUAAUUCGCAAAAAAUUGUUUAAUCAUUUUAGCUCAAAAGAAUUGUAGGCUAGGCUGCACAUUUUUCUAGGUUAUUGAAUUUCUUUCACAAGUUUGUAACAAUCAGAAUUUCUCCAUUUUCACCACAAUAUUGCGAAUGGCAUAGCUUUGUCUUUAGUGGAAAUUGUUAAGCACGGAAUCUUUGAUAUCAAACAAUAAAACAUAUUAUAAGUAAA